rnacentral:rRNA from 1 species
GACGAACGCUGGCGGCGUGCUUAACACAUGCAAGUCGAACGGUGAACCUCUUCGGAGGGGAUCAGUGGCGAACGGGUGAGUAACACGUGGCCAACCUGCCCCCGGCUCUGGGAUAACUCCAAGAAAUUGGGGCUAAUACCGGAUGUUCACCGCUUCCCGCAUUGUUGGUGGUGGAAAGGGUUUCCGGCUGGGGAUGGGCCCGCGGCCUAUCAGCUUGUUGGUGGGGUAGUGGCCUACCAAGGCGACGACGGGUAGCCGGCCUGAGAGGGUGACCGGCCACACUGGGACUGAGACACGGCCCAGACUCCUACGGGAGGCAGCAGUGGGGAAUAUUGCGCAAUGGGCGGAAGCCUGACGCAGCGACGCCGCGUGGGGGAUGACGGCCUUCGGGUUGUAAACCUCUUUCAGCAGGGACGAAGCGCAAGUGACGGUACCUGCAGAAGAAGCACCGGCCAACUACGUG